CCUACGGGUGGCAGCAGUAGGGAAUAUUGCUCAAUGGGGGAAACCCUGAAGCAGCAACGCCGCGUGGAGGAUGAAGGUUUUCGGAUUGUAAACUCCUUUUGUUAGGGAAGAUAAUGACGGUAUUUAACGAAUAAUCACCGGCUAACUCCGUGCCAGCAGCCGCGGUAAUACGGAGGGUGCAAGCGUUAAUCGGAAUCAAUGGGCGUAAAGAGAGCGUAGGCGGGAUAGCAAGUCAGAUGUGAAAUCCUUGGGCUUAACCAUAGAACAGCAUUUGAAACUGUUAUUCUAGAGUAUGGGAGAGGUAGGUGGAAUUCUAGGUGUAGGGGUAAAAUCCGUAGAGAUCAAGAGGAAUACUCAUUGCGAAGGCGACCUGCUAGAACAUAACUGACGCUGAUGCGCGAAAGCGUGGGGAGCAAACAGGAUUAGAUACCCGGGUAGUC
rnacentral:rRNA from 1 species